rnacentral:miRNA from 1 species
AAGGACCCUUCUUGAUAAGC